rnacentral:rRNA from 1 species
AUUGAACGCUGGCGGAAUGCUUUACACAUGCAAGUCGAGCGGCAGCGCGGCCUUCGGGCUGGCGGCGAGCGGCGAACGGGUGAGUAAUGCAUCGGAACAUGCCCAGUCGUGGGGGAUAACACUUCGAAAGAAGUGCUAAUACCGCAUACGUCCUGAGGGGGAAAGCGGGGGAUCGCAAGACCUCGCGCGAUUGGAGUGGCCGAUGUCAGAUUAGCUAGUUGGUGGGGUAAAGGCCUACCAAGGCGACGAUCUGUAGCUGGUCUGAGAGGAUGAUCAGCCACACUGGGACUGAGACACGGCCCAGACUCCUACGGGAGGCAGCAGUGGGGAAUUUUGGACAAUGGGGCCAACCCUGAUCCAGCCAUGCCGCGUGAGUGAAGAAGGCCUUCGGGUUGUAAAGCUCUUUCGGCAGGAACGAAACGGUGGGCUCUAACAUAGUCCGCUAAUGACGGUACCUGAAGAAGAAGCACCGGCUAACUACGUG